UAUGAAUUAUGCACCACCACCUGCAUAAUGAUGCACCACCGUUGUUACUUUGUACACCGACGUGCAUGAAUCGUACACGAUCGUUGCCAUUUUAGCAACUACCGUGUAUGAAUCAUGCACCACCGUUGUCAUUUUUUUUACUCGUGUGCAAUCGGCUGCAUAUUUACCAUUUUUUCCGUGUUAUUGAAAGAGAAAGGACGCAUUGUGCAAAAAAUUUAUUGAAAAUGAAUAAUAAUUCGCAAGAUCCUCAAAAUAUCAUUGGUGAGUUGUUAGAAAUCGAUGGCAAUAUUGUUGUGGUUCGCGAUACAAACCAUUGCAGCAGUCAAGAUGCGGAAAACAAUGAGGACGAUUAUAUGUUAAGGGAGUUCUUAAAAGGAAUAAAUAUGGAGUCGCUUUUUGAACAAUUAAAAGCAUCACAUGUAACAUUUCGCAGCUUGCAGUACUUGAAAAAAAGAAGAUUUAAAGGAAGCAGUGCCACCAUUGGGACUGCGUGUUGAAUUCAGAGAAAAGCUCUUUGCUUGGAAAAAACGAAAGCUCGGGAUUGAUGACGAAACUAUGUCAGUUCCAUCUAAAAUAGGUGAAUGGUGGAAACGCAACGAGACACCUGCAAGUACUCCUGGUACUCCCGACACUACAGGUUCGAACUGCUCAAAAGCCAAAGGAAUUUUGUCAGAGGUAAGGUAAGAGUAAUAUUUGUGUAAGCAUAGUUAAUGUAGUUUUUUUAUUUAAUAUAGGAUCUAACGGAAUUGUAAACACAUACCUCGAAGAGGAAACUAGCGCUUGAAUGUAGUAGCGUUAAUAAGAAAUUAAGUGACGAGCAAAGAGAUGAUAUAAUUAAUAUAAUUAUUGAAGAUAUUUUAACCAACAAUGUUACUCUUUACACUCAAGACUAUAUGCGCAUAUUGGAUGAAAUUUGUUCCGUUUUUCCUCUUGAAAACGAAAUGAGGGUAAGAUUAACAAUAUAAACAACGUAUCUGAUUAUGUAGUUUCUUAACUUAUAAUAUGUCUUUAUUUUUAGGAUUAUUAUUACAUUUCAAGAAAAGGAAAGAACAACGCAAGCGGAAAACUUUAUGCCAAGUAUAGAAACAAGAAGUCCAAAAGAAUAAAGCUUUUGAUUUCCGAGCCUAGCACAAGCAAAGCAGCAACUCACACAUCUCCUAAUUUUUGUAACAAAGAUG